rnacentral:rRNA from 2 species
AACUGAAGAGUUUGAUCAUGGCUCAGAUUGAACGCUGGCGGCAGGCCUAACACAUGCAAGUCGAGCGGAUGAGUGGAGCUUGCUCCAUGAUUCAGCGGCGGACGGGUGAGUAAUGCCUAGGAAUCUGCCUGGUAGUGGGGGACAACGUUUCGAAAGGAACGCUAAUACCGCAUACGUCCUACGGGAGAAAGUGGGGGAUCUUCGGACCUCACGCUAUCAGAUGAGCCUAGGUCGGAUUAGCUAGUUGGUGAGGUAAAGGCUCACCAAGGCGACGAUCCGUAACUGGUCUGAGAGGAUGAUCAGUCACACUGGAACUGAGACACGGUCCAGACUCCUACGGGAGGCAGCAGUGGGGAAUAUUGGACAAUGGGCGAAAGCCUGAUCCAGCCAUGCCGCGUGUGUGAAGAAGGUCUUCGGAUUGUAAAGCACUUUAAGUUGGGAGGAAGGGCAGUAAGUUAAUACCUUGCUGUUUUGACGUUACCAACAGAAUAAGCACCGGCUAACUUCGUGCCAGCAGCCGCGGUAAUACGAAGGGUGCAAGCGUUAAUCGGAAUUACUGGGCGUAAAGCGCGCGUAGGUGGUUCGUUAAGUUGGAUGUGAAAGCCCCGGGCUCAACCUGGGAACUGCAUCCAAAACUGGCGAGCUAGAGUAUGGCAGAGGGUGGUGGAAUUUCCUGUGUAGCGGUGAAAUGCGUAGAUAUAGGAAGGAACACCAGUGGCGAAGGCGACCACCUGGGCUAAUACUGACACUGAGGUGCGAAAGCGUGGGGAGCAAACAGG